rnacentral:lncRNA from 1 species
UCGAAUUGUGAUAAAUAUUUGCAGACCUGAUAAUGAAAAGAAAAGCAAAACAAAGUUAGAAAUUACUAGUAAUUAGAAGCGUUCAAACAGAAUAUAAAUAUAUACUUUUGUUCGUACAGAGGUAGACGUAAUAUAUGAAGAUUUACGAUAGGGUCUAACAAUUAAAGUCCCAGAGACAAUCUUCUUGAAGACAAGAAGUGAAAGGUCUAUUAAGAUCAAGAUUACCCAGACAAGAAGCAUCAGCCGAAACAUAAUCUCCCAGCACCUCGUCAGAUGAAACAAGAGACAUUACGUUUCCACAACCCAAACCAUCAAAGUCCAUCAGAUCAGAGAAGAGAUACUCAGACUGAAUUUUAUCAAAAUCGAUUUUAAGAUCUCCCAACAAUGAAGGAGAACUAGCUUGUUGAUCAAUCACGUUUUCCUUCACAGUAAGAAGACUGGUACUACCAAUACUACUCUGCUUCUGAAAUGUCAGAGCCUUUGGGCACCUAAUCGCCUUUGGACGUAUAACAGAUACUUUAUUCAUGUUGUUGUUGUUGGAAUGUUUUCGACUUUUCUGUUGGUUGGUUUGUGAUUUUGGAAGUCUUUUGCGGAGGUUUGAGUUCCAGUGGUUCUUUAUUUCAUUGUCUGUUCGCCCUGGAAGCCUCCCAGCUAUCAACGACCAUCUGCUUUACGCCGCUAACUUUUUUUUAGAAAGGAAGAGAAUGUUAUGUAUUUUGGUGAAAGCAAACGUUAGUAACCUGUUUCCAAGGAGAUUAUGGAGGCGGAUUAUAAGUUCUUCUUCAUCAGAUGAGAUGUUUCCGCGCUUUAUGCCUGGUCUCAAGUAGUUCUUCCACCGAAGUCUGCAGCUUUUGCCACACCUCUUGAGACCUUUAUAUUUUCGGAAACAAUGAUUUUAAACAUAUUGAUAUAAUCUUACAAUCAUUAAAAAGAAAAAUAAAAGAUGCACGGAUAUGUACCAGCUUGGUUUGGGAGUGUGCUCCAUUUUCCUUCGCCGUGGAACAUGAUAUAGUCUUUAAGGAUCUUGUCUUCUUGAUCGGUCCAAGCUCCUCUGUUUAACUCCUCUUUCUUCACCCUACUACUUUCUCUCUUUCUCAUCAUCUCUCUUGUUGUUGUGUGGUUGGUAGACUUGUCUUUAGCGUUGUGUUGAGAAUAGAUUAUGUUUCUGUGUAAAACCAAGUAUCUUUAUAGGGAGUUGUUGCAAUGUCCGUUACAUCAGUCGCUUUCCAUAACCUCUGUCACACACACACUUUUUAGUUUCAAUGCUUUUCUCACUUCACACCAUGAUUUACUAGUCUAGUCUUACGUGCUAAGUCUCUAACUGUCUAGUUCCUAAACCGACCUUGAUCAUCAUCGUAUAACAAAUUAGGCAUGACUGUGAAUGAUUGGUGAAAAUAGUCAUUCCUAGUCGCAUUCUAGCUUGUAAGCAACCAUCUUCACUGAACUAAGUGGUAAGAGCAUCCGCACUGCUAAUUGUUAAAAUUAAAUACUCACAAACAAAAAUAAUAAUUGUUAUUUUAACAUAAUAUAACUAAUACUAUUUAAGUUCCAAAAAUAACUAAUACUAUUAAAACAAAAAUAAAAUUAUGAAAAUAACUUUAUAUUUUCGUUUUAUGUUACAAAAAAUGCCACUAUAGUUUAUAACAAUCCCUAAUAUAUAUAUAUAUAUAUUUCUAAAAGGAAAUAAUCAAAAAGAUAUUCGUACAAGCUUUUCUAAGAUUACACUAAUAACUUUUACUUUAUAUUUUUGUGUCAAAUAUAAAUACAUAAUUAUAUUUAAUAGUAUUAUAACUUUGUAUGAAUCUAAAUAACUAAAUAUUCUUGUAAUGAAUAUUAAAUAAUUAUUAUACAUUGCUAUUACUUUAAUUUUUAAUUAUACACAUAAAAGAAAAUUCAUAAUAUUCUAUAUAAACAAUUAUAGCAUUAUUAAAUUAUUACAUUAAAUAAUAAAUACACUUAAAUAACUUAAUCUAUUCAUUAAUUUGUAAAUUAAAAAAUUAAAUUAAAUUAACUGUACACACAAAGUAGCAAAAAAUAUAGAAUUCAUAAUAUUAAGUCAAUGAUAAUCAUUUUAAUUUAAAUUAUUUAAAAUAUUAUAAAAGUAAAUAUUAAAUCAUUGAUAAUAAUUUAAUUUAAUAUUUAAAAAUAUAUAUAUAUAUAUAUUCAAAAUUAGAUAAAUAUAUAUCAUAUCAAUAUAUAUUUACUUGAUAAAAAUAAAAUAUUAAAGGCUUUAUUUACGCUUGAUAUUUGACCAAUACACGACAUGUUAAACGAUAUAUUACUCCAUCUCAAAUUUAAUAAAACUAAAACAAAUGAAAGACACAUAAAAUGAAUUAUUCUAUUUUGAUUAUUAUAUAGCUAUAUUUGUACCAAACUACAAUCAACUAAAGAAUAUUAAAAAAGGAAAUUUUAUACGACCAUAUGUUAUUCCGUAAAAAACUAUUGCAGCUCAACUCCAUAUCAAAUUUAUAAUGAUUACUUUAUUUAAUAAAAUAUGUUUAAAUUUAUGAUAUUGCAUUAUGGUACUGAUUACUUAAUAGCAUAACUAUAAAUAAUUAAUUUUUUUUUUAAUUUGUAUAUAAAAUUACUCUUUCCAAAUCUAAAAUAUGAAUAUAUUAAAUUAAGGCUUUUGUUUUAUUUCACAGAUUUAAGUCUAAAAAACUAAACUUAUAAACAUGUAAUAAAACUAAAAAUAACAUUUCUCAUAAAUUAUUUUCAUCUAAUUUUUAAAUAUUUAAAUAAAUAUAAAUAGAAUAGAGAUUAUAAUUUUUUUUAAAAAUUCAAAACUUUGAUUUAAGAAAUAAUAAAAAUAAAUAAUGUACACAAACUUAAAUAAAAAUAUAUAAAAAUAAAACACAUAAAUUAUGUAUGCACUUAUAAUUUCUAUUAAAUAAAAUUUUGUAAAAAAAAAAAUUGUGUACUUUAAAAGCGUUAAUCAAAAUCUAGUUAUCUAAAUAUAAGCGAAAACCAUAUGUCCAAAGGAGUUUUGUUGAGUUUCUUGAAAAUUUUCAAGUGAGAAACUCUUUCGUUCUUCUACUUUUACUUUUUAUUUAUUAUUUUAUUGGAAAGAUAUUUAUUGAGUUUCUACCGGUGGAUAUGUUCUAACACUUAUGAGAGUUCAGUAAUUUCAGAAUUUUUUCAGUCCAGAUAAGCGAAAGAUAUAUUUCCAGAAGAGUUUUGUGAGUUUUGUUUAAACGGCUUGAUUGUUAGUUCAUAUUCAAAAGUUAGACCAAGUACACCAUGCUGAAUUUAUGUCCUUGGGUAAACCGUAAAUCCUUGGAUAAAUCCUAAACACUAAAUAAAAAACAUUAAAACCCUAAACCCUAAACCCUAAACCCUAAACUCUUGAGUGUUUUAGUGUUUAGUGAUUUUGAUUUAAAGUUUAGGAUUUAUCCUAGACUUUAGGGUUUACCCAAGAGUUUAGGGUGUAGGAUUUAGGGUUUAGGGAUUAAGAUUUAGAGUUUAAUGUUUUGCUGACGAUGUUAAAAAUAUUUUUUUUGUAAUUACUACUAUUUUUUAUGUAUUUCUUUUUACCUUUUAAUUUUAAAAACAUAAUAUAAUUUGACAAUAUUUUGUUUCUUUUUUAAAAAAAUAUCGAAUAUGAAAUAACACAAUCAUAUUGGUUGGUGAACCUAGAAAGAAUAAGUCUAAUAAGAAUAAAUGAACAUAACAAAACAAACAGAAAAGCAUCUGAAAUUGAACAUAUAUAUGAACAAUGUUAGGUGGGGUGAUCAAUAAAGUUGAAUAUGAUAGGCCAAGAUAUAAUGGAAUCCUUGCUUAGUUAAAAUUGCACCAAUUUAAAUGCGUAAAGAUUUGGUGUGAAGACUUUGAACUUCACUCAUUUAUAGGAAACCUAUUAAUUGACUGAUCACCAAACUCGUUUCUUGUUUUUUCGUUUCAUCACAUACGUCACUUCUUUCAUUUCAUCAAACGAGAAGUAGUCGCUUCUACGUUCUAACCAAAAAGACGAUCGGCAAUAAAAUAGUACGAGAACAAGCCAUUAUAGUGCUUUUAUGUAAAGCUUCCAGUUCACUAAAUUUGCUUGCUUUAGGCCGAACACACUUUCUAAGUCUUGAGACCAUUUGAAGCAAAUCCAUUCAAUCAGUUAUAAAGUAGGGUCACCGGGUUACGCAUGUCUCGAUCUCUAACUAUUUUGCAAACCCGAUUUUAGGGAUUGGUAGAAGGGAAAAUAUCCUCAACACCAACUUUGAUAUAUACGAUAAUUCCAAGAAUGAAAUUUUUAAAAACUCCUUACAGUUAUGACUGUGUCUGCCUAUAAAUGGAUAUGAAUGUAUAUUUUCGUUAUACAAUAUUGUAAAGUCGAUUUGUAUCUAUCUACCAAGAACAAUAACACUGGUAAAGUUUUAAUGAUAGGGAUGGUUAAGCAGUAGUUAGGGUAUAAUAAAAGCUCUAUCAUUUGCGGCAUGCAUGAUGCACAUAAAUUGAACAUGUAAUCUAUCAAAAAAUGUAUUUCGCCAUUGCGUAUUUGCGAUAUCUUAUAAUCAUAUUAUAUAUGUUUGAAAGACAAAAAAAGCACUUCCAUAAUACUCGAAUUGUGAUAAAUAUUUGCAGACCUGAUAAUGAAAAGAAAAGCAAAACAAAGUUAGAAAUUACUAGUAAUUAGAAGCGUUCAAACAGAAUAUAAAUAUAUACUUUUGUUCGUACAGAGGUAGACGUAAUAUAUGAAGAUUUACGAUAGGGUCUAACAAUUAAAGUCCCAGAGACAAUCUUCUUGAAGACAAGAAGUGAAAGGUCUAUUAAGAUCAAGAUUACCCAGACAAGAAGCAUCAGCCGAAACAUAAUCUCCCAGCACCUCGUCAGAUGAAACAAGAGACAUUACGUUUCCACAACCCAAACCAUCAAAGUCCAUCAGAUCAGAGAAGAGAUACUCAGACUGAAUUUUAUCAAAAUCGAUUUUAAGAUCUCCCAACAAUGAAGGAGAACUAGCUUGUUGAUCAAUCACGUUUUCCUUCACAGUAAGAAGACUGGUACUACCAAUACUACUCUGCUUCUGAAAUGUCAGAGCCUUUGGGCACCUAAUCGCCUUUGGACGUAUAACACAUACUUUAUUCAUGUUGUUGUUGUUGGAAUGUUUUCGACUUUUCUGUUGGUUGGUUUGUGAUUUUGGAAGUCUUUUGCGGAGGUUUGAGUUCCAGUGGUUCUUUAUUUCAUUGUCUGUUCGCCCUGGAAGCCUCCCAGCUAUCAACGACCAUCUGCUUUACGCCGCUAACUUUUUUUUAGAAAGGAAGAGAAUGUUAUGUAUUUUGGUGAAAGCAAACGUUAGUAACCUGUUUCCAAGGAGAUUAUGGAGGCGGAUUAUAAGUUCUUCUUCAUCAGAUGAGAUGUUUCCGCGCUUUAUGCCUGGUCUCAAGUAGUUCUUCCACCGAAGUCUGCAGCUUUUGCCACACCUCUUGAGACCUUUAUAUUUUCGGAAACAAUGAUUUUAAACAUAUUGAUAUAAUCUUACAAUCAUUAAAAAGAAAAAUAAAAGAUGCACGGAUAUGUACCAGCUUGGUUUGGGAGUGUGCUCCAUUUUCCUUCGCCGUGGAACAUGAUAUAGUCUUUAAGGAUCUUGUCUUCUUGAUCGGUCCAAGCUCCUCUGUUUAACUCCUCUUUCUUCACCCUACUACUUUCUCUCUUUCUCAUCAUCUCUCUUGUUGUUGUGUGGUUGGUAGACUUGUCUUUAGCGUUGUGUUGAGAAUAGAUUAUGUUUCUGUGUAAAACCAAGUAUCUUUAUAGGGAGUUGUUGCAAUGUCCGUUACAUCAGUCGCUUUCCAUAACCUCUGUCACACACACACUUUUUAGUUUCAAUGCUUUUCUCACUUCACACCAUGAUUUACUAGUCUAGUCUUACGUGCUAAGUCUCUAACUGUCUAGUUCCUAAACCGACCUUGAUCAUCAUCGUAUAACAAAUUAGGCAUGACUGUGAAUGAUUGGUGAAAAUAGUCAUUCCUAGUCGCAUUCUAGCUUGUAAGCAACCAUCUUCACUGAACUAAGUGGUAAGAGCAUCCGCACUGCUAAUUGUUAAAAUUAAAUACUCACAAACAAAAAUAAUAAUUGUUAUUUUAACAUAAUAUAACUAAUACUAUUUAAGUUCCAAAAAUAACUAAUACUAUUAAAACAAAAAUAAAAUUAUGAAAAUAACUUUAUAUUUUCGUUUUAUGUUACAAAAAAUGCCACUAUAGUUUAUAACAAUCCCUAAUAUAUAUAUAUAUAUAUUUCUAAAAGGAAAUAAUCAAAAAGAUAUUCGUACAAGCUUUUCUAAGAUUACACUAAUAACUUUUACUUUAUAUUUUUGUGUCAAAUAUAAAUACAUAAUUAUAUUUAAUAGUAUUAUAACUUUGUAUGAAUCUAAAUAACUAAAUAUUCUUGUAGUAGUUAGGGUAUAAUAAAAGCUCUAUCAUUUGCGGCAUGCAUGAUGCACAUAAAUUGAACAUGUAAUCUAUCAAAAAAUGUAUUUCGCCAUUGCGUAUUUGCGAUAUCUUAUAAUCAUAUUAUAUAUGUUUGAAAGACAAAAAAAGCACUUCCAUAAUACUCGAAUUGUGAUAAAUAUUUGCAGACCUGAUAAUGAAAAGAAAAGCAAAACAAAGUUAGAAAUUACUAGUAAUUAGAAGCGUUCAAACAGAAUAUAAAUAUAUACUUUUGUUCGUACAGAGGUAGACGUAAUAUAUGAAGAUUUACGAUAGGGUCUAACAAUUAAAGUCCCAGAGACAAUCUUCUUGAAGACAAGAAGUGAAAGGUCUAUUAAGAUCAAGAUUACCCAGACAAGAAGCAUCAGCCGAAACAUAAUCUCCCAGCACCUCGUCAGAUGAAACAAGAGACAUUACGUUUCCACAACCCAAACCAUCAAAGUCCAUCAGAU